AGUGAACGCUGGCGGUAGGCCUAACACAUGCAAGUCGAACGGCAGCACAGUAAGAGCUUGCUCUUACGGGUGGCGAGUGGCGGACGGGUGAGGAAUACAUCGGAAUCUACUUUUUCGUGGGGGAUAACGUAGGGAAACUUACGCUAAUACCGCAUACGACCUACGGGUGAAAGCAGGGGAUCUUCGGACCUUGCGCGAUUGAAUGAGCCGAUGUCGGAUUAGCUAGUUGGCGGGGUAAAGGCCCACCAAGGCGACGAUCCGUAGCUGGUCUGAGAGGAUGAUCAGCCAAACUGGAACUGAGACACGGUCCAGAAUCCUACGGGAGGCAGCAGUGGGGAAUAUUGGACAAUGGGCGCAAGCCUGAUCCAGCCAUACCGCGUGGGUGAAGAAGGCCUUCGGGUUGUAAAGCCCUUUUGUUGGGAAAGAAAAGCAGCAGGUUAAUACCCCGCUGUUCUGACGGUACCCAAAGAAUAAGCACCGGCUAACUUCGUG
rnacentral:rRNA from 1 species